UCAUGCUAGCGCAUCAUCAUAGAGUUCAGUACUGUUUAAUCUGUUGAGAUAAAUGUCAUGUUGGUAUGAUCACUAGUUCCUACAUGCGAAGUUGGUACGACUUCUAACGACGCCCUUUUGUUUUGGCUUCUGCCACGUGUUAAUUAUCUGAGAGUAUCCGGUGUGUUCAUAUGGCUGUACAUGGUAGUGAAAUACAGAAUAUAAAAACUGAAUCUGUGUGAAUCAAUUAAAUAUCGAACUCCAAAACCUAUUUAAUAACAGGGGUAGUGCAGUAACCGAAAUGGAAAUUAUUCUACAUGCAAAAGAAAUUUGAAGAGUUCUCGUUGCCAGAAAUUUAAGGUGAAUGGAUUUUGUGAUAUUCAGGCAAACUGACUCCCGAGUAAGAUAAAACUUCAUAAAUUCUUUCCUAUGGUGCUUUGAUGAACUUUGUGUAAAGUGACUUGGAAUCCAGCUUUAACUGGUUUAAAACAUGCAUGGAUUAUACUCUUCGCUAUUCCUAGGACAUUUACAAAUUAUUGUGUUUGUCCUUCUCAAGUUAGAAAUUCCACUUUUUGUGAAAACG